rnacentral:SRP_RNA from 1 species
GCCGGGCAUGGUGGCACGUGCCUGUAGUCCCAGCUACUCAGGAGGCUGAGGUGGAAGGAUCACUUGAGUCCAGGGGUUCUGGGCUGUAGUGCGCUAUGCCAAUCAGGUGUCCGCACUAAGUUCGGCAUCAAUAUGGCGACCUCCUGGGAGCAGGGGACCACCAGGUUGCCUAAGGAGGAGCGAACCGGCCCAGGUCGGAAACGGAGCAGGUCAAAACUCCCAUGCUGAUGAGUAGUGGGAUCGCGCCUGUGAAUAGCCACUGCACUCCAGCCUGGGCAACAUAGUGAGACCCCAUCUGU